UCGCCAAAAAGCCGGAAAAGAGAUUUUAGAGUGGAUUGGGGCUUAACCCAUAAUAUACACGGCACCAGAAAUCAACCCAAAUAUAAGUUCUUUUCACUCAUAUCGGCUCAUCCGUGCGAGAACCCAAAUUUGGCUAUACCACGUUAAAGCUCUGAGUGGGUAGUUUCCGUUUGAUCCCGGCAGAAAAUUGCAACCCAUCGCAAAGUUCUUUCUACCUAGCGUUGACUUUCGAAGUACCCUAGUGGGUUGAAAUAAACCCACUUUUGAGUAAACGGCAAGAAACCCAAAUUUGGCUUCUCGCACGGACAUUAUCGGCUAGGUAGCUGCUUCUCGCUUUGUUUUUGACAACAUUGCGAGCGGGAGAGCGAGAAAACAACCCACUGCUGGGUAAAAAGUUCAAGCGGUUUACUUAUUUUUGCGUUCUUUUAACGUAUUUUUUAGGUAAUCUGUUUUUUCCGUGUAAGUGUGUAGUUCAGCUCAUAUUAACCCAGAAUAUGAUUAUUUCUAGACCAACAUUUGAAAAGGGCGGAAGAGCCAAAAUGUAAACAAAUCACUUUUCAGCAUAAUUUGAUGAAACAACUCAUAGGGUAAAAACACUCGUGCUUAUUCUGCUCGGCGUGUGACGUGACAAAAGUCGUGUCGCAUGUGUCACCCGAUUCCCGUAGGCGGAUGCGGUGACAAGAGUCGGUGUGGGUGAACACCGAUGAACUCUCACCGCAUUCCCACAGUCGCUUCAGAUCGACAAAUGUCGCAUUCAAGUGACGUUUGAAUGUGAGAUUUGUCGUAACCUCGGGAGGUGUCGACAGCUCAACCAGAACGAGUUAAAACAUAAAUAAAUUGACAUCGACGGAACGGUGUAUCGAUCAACCGGAUGCCGGCGAACGUGGGUACCAAAAAUUCGCUUUGCGUAUAGUCAUCCCACCAUCGCGAAGGACAACUAUACGUUUUAGUCAAACGAAAAACACCGGAACAUUUGAGGUGAACUCGGCGUCGUGGUGCACAAACCGAGAGGAGUAGGCCCGUUCUGCGCCAAGCAGUUUCCAGCAUGAACUAAGGGAAGCUCGGAUUUCGGCAACAGGUUUAGGAGCAACAGGAAGGAUCACAUGGACCCAUUCCAUCCGAAGAUAUCGAUGAUCGUGUCGUCAGUUCACAAUCGGAGGGAAAGGGUAAUGCCGCUAGGGAUGAUCGAAUACCGUGAUUAGGAUGACGAAGGAGAGUCCCAGAAAUAGCGCGUCCCUAUGGAAUUUGAAAUUUGAACGCACCAAGAAUAUCGUUUAAGAAGCAUCCGCUUGUGGAAACUAAGGCUUUUACGAAGCUGGAGAGUAUUUAGAAGAUGGACCUUAAAUGGAAAUUAGUCGCUCGUGGAGCUGAGUUGAUUAGUUUAGUUGUGUAAUUGUGACAUGUAUUUGAGAAGCGCAAAAUAAAUAAUUUAGGAUACUUUUGUAUUUGUGUAAAUA